AACGGGUACUCCUGCUAGAGACCAUGUCUAAAAUGAUGUUUGUCAAAGGUCAUUUGCAUAUGGUUAGCUUAUGGCCAAUCCUGAUGAGUUACCUUGGUAAAUACACGAUAUGCCGAAGUGAAGAAACCUUGAAGCUUAAAGGAUGUAUCAACAUAAUAAGAGCAUCCAUGCUACCACUUUGAGAUGAAUACUUGCACAUCCCACAAGUUGGAGAUAGGUUGAUAUGAAUUCUUCAAUGGGGAGAUACAGGAGUUCACCUUUUUUAUCCUUUUUACCUAGGAGAGAGCAGUAGUUAGUGUUGGUAACUUGUGAUACCUUCAUAGCUUGUUAUUGAACUUGUG
rnacentral:lncRNA from 1 species